rnacentral:misc_RNA from 1 species
GAUGAAGAACGUAGCGAAAUGCGAUAAGUAGUGUGAAUUGCAGAAUUCCGUGAAUCAUCGAAUCUUUGAACGCACAUUGCGCCUUCUGGUAUUCCGGAAGGCAUGCCUGUUCGAGAGUCAUUAACAACCGUUUCGAUCCCUUUCUUUCAGAAAUUACAAAGAGGAAAAGGGUUUGGUUAUGGUGGAGGAGGGAAAGGGAGCGUUUAGCCUGUAAAAAAAGAGGCUGUGUUCCGCCUCCCCCCCAAAAUUGUACAGGCGGUCGUGUGCGCCCACGCAUCGAGGUGUUGUAAAAGCUGCCACGGCACUUUUCACCUGUGCAGUGCGAGAUUGGCCAGCCGGUUUAAAAACCCUUCCAAACAAUCAAAGGUUGACCUCGGAUCAGGUAGGGAUACCCGCUGAACUUAAGCAUAUCAAUAAGCGGAGGA